AUAUGAGUAAUUUUUCGCGGAAAUAGGUGCAUGUAAAAGCGGGAAGGAUGGACAGUAAUAUAUAAGGAAGCGAUAAAACUAGUUAUUAGAUAAUAGUUAUUAUUAUUGAAUGUUGUGGCUAAAUGUUUGCGAAAGUUUUUGUUUUAUAUUAUACUGGAUUAUUCCUUUGAUUGUAUAUGCCUCUUGUUUACUUUAAUUUCGAGAAUUUGAGCAUACUAAUUAUGUUUCUCAAAUAUUGUUUGCUUUAUGUUCCGAUAUAGGAAAUGAAAUUAGUUCAGCCGUCAUAAGCGUACGAGCGGGAAAAAUCAGGGAGCCAGAAAGAAAAUUUACCCGACUUUUACCCACUGAAUAAAACUUUCCGUGUAACUAAAUUUCCAAAAUUGUCGUUGGGAAGUAGACAAAAAUAUUUUCCUAUUUGUCGAUUCCUCGUUACUUUUACAUAUUUCUGUCUGGUAUUUUCAAAUACCAUAUUGCAUGUACUGUCUUCUUUUUAAAUUUAUUUCCCCCGAUUUUUGCCCGAAUUUAUACGUUUAUAAUUUGCAUGACUUUAUUUUGACUGGGGGGCGGGACUGCCUCCCCCCCCUCGCCCAUACAGCUAUAAUCAGCUGUUGUUACGGAUCGGUUAAUAUAUAUUGUGUUAAAAAUAUUUUGACUUUGUUGUUUCUGAUGACAAUUUUGCCGACUCUCGACUUUUCAGUUACUCUCGAUCGACUCUCGACUUUUUACUCUCGAUCGACUCUCGACUUUUUACUCUCGACUUUUUACUCUCGACUCUCGACUUUUUACUCUCGACUUUUUACUCUCGACUCUCGACUUUUACUCUCGACUCUCGACUUUUACUCUCGACUCUCGACUUUUACUCUCGACUCUCGACCUUUACUCUCGACUCUCGACCCUCGACUUUUAG